ACAGAGGCGGCGAGCGUUGUUCGGAUUUACUGGGCGUAAAGGGUGCGUAGGCGGUUCUGUGUGUCGGAUGUGAAAUCUUACAGCUUAACUGGGAAAUUGCAUUGGAAACUGCAGGGGUGGAGGACAGGAGAGGAGAGCGGUACUCUAGGUGUAGCAGUGAAAUGCUUAAAUCCUAAGAGGAGCACCUGUGGCGAAGGCGGCUCUCCAGGAUGAUACUGACAGUGAGGAACGAAAGCUGGGGGAGCAAACAG
rnacentral:rRNA from 1 species